rnacentral:rRNA from 1 species
GAUGAACGCUGGCGGCGUGCCUAAUACAUGCAAGUCGAGCGAACAGACGAGGAGCUUGCUCCUCUGACGUUAGCGGCGGACGGGUGAGUAACACGUGGAUAACCUACCUAUAAGACUGGGAUAACUUCGGGACACCGGAGCUAAUACCGGAUAAUAUAUUGAACCGCAUGGUUCAAUAGUGAAAGACGGUUUUGCUGUCACUUAUAGAUGGAUCCGCGCCGCAUUAGCUAGUUGGUAAGGUAACGGCUUACCAAGGCGACGAUGCGUAGCCGACCUGAGAGGGUGAUCGGCCACACUGGAACGGAGACACGGUCCAGACUCCUACGGGAGGCAGCAGUAGGGAAUCUUCCGCAAUGGGCGAAAGCCUGACGGAGCAACGCCGCGUGAGUGAUGAAGGUCUUCGGAUCGUAAAACUCUGUUAUUAGGGAAGAACAAAUGUGUAAGUAACUAUGCACGUCUUGACGGUACCUAAUCAGAAAGCCACGGCUAACUACGUG